rnacentral:tRNA from 1 species
GGGCUGUUAGCUCAGAGGAUUUAGAGCACGUGGCUACGAACCACGGUUGUCGUGGGGUUCGAAUCCCUCCUCGCCCA